GAUCCUGGCUCAGGACGAACGCUGGCGGCGUGCCUAAUACAUGCAAGUCGAGCGGACAGAUGGGAGCUUGCUYCCUKAUGUYAGCGGCGGACGGGUGAGUAACACGUGGGUAACCUGCCUGUAAGACUGGGAUAACUCCGGGAAACCGGGGCUAAUACCGGAUGCUUGAUUGAACCGCAUGGUUCAAUUAUAAAAGGUGGCUUUYAGCUACCACUUACAGAUGGACCCGCGGCGCAUUAGCUAGUUGGUGAGGUAACGGCUCACCAAGGCAACGAUGCGUAGCCGACCUGAGAGGGUGAUCGGCCACACUGGGACUGAGACACGGCCCAGACUCCUACGGGAGGCAGCAGUAGGGAAUCUUCCGCAAUGGACGAAAGUCUGACGGAGCAACGCCGCGUGAGUGAUGAAGGUUUUCGGAUCGUAAAACUCUGUUGUUAGGGAAGAACAAGUACCGUUCGAAUAGGGCGGUACCUKACGGUACCWACCAGA
rnacentral:rRNA from 1 species